CAAGGUCAUAGUCAAAGUGGAGGUUCUCUCCUCCCUUCAAAGAAAGGCACCUCCCUCUUUGAAGACCUGUUCUUUCCACUGGGAUCUCACUCACAGAGAUCUUUUUGCCAGAGUGUCUUGGCUUUCCAUGCCUGAAAUACUCUCAUGGGCUUUUCAGCCAGAUCCGAGUGCCUUUAGGGCUGAUUCUGAGGCCAGAGUGCUAUUUAGGACAUCCGCCAUUCUAUGAGUCUGCUGAGUAUCUCACUUCCCAUGUUGGAUCACUCUCCCCUUUAUUUAUUCUAUCGGUUAGUGUUAGCAGGUACUAGACUUGUUUAUGUGCUCCCUUUGACUCUUAGUCCUUUCAUUAUGAUCAAUUGUGAACUGAAAUUGAUCACUUGGAGUAGUGAGAUGGCAUUGGCACAUGCCACCUUGAUGGGAUUGAACUGGAAUCCCCUGGUAUGUUUCCAACUCUACCAAUUGGGGCAAGUCAGCCCGAGCCUGCCCCAAAUUAUACAUCUCUUCCCUCUCUUAUUCCCACUCUUAUGUUUAACAGGGAUCACAUUUCAGUUAAUUUUCAACACUUAAGAAUAACUGUGUGAUAAUUACAGAAUUAAACCAGUCAUAUUAAGUAGAACAGACAAAAAAAAUA